GGCGGCGUAGCUCAGCUGGCUAGAGCGCUCGGUUCAUACCCGGAAGGUCAUCCGUUCGAGUCGGAUCGCCGCUACCA
rnacentral:tRNA from 1 species